rnacentral:rRNA from 1 species
AUGACAGAUGCGUGGACCGACAUAAGAGGAAGAGGGGUAAUGAAUCUGGUAGUCCAUAGUGCAUAUGGUGUGGUUUUUCUCGAUUCUUUUGAUUGUUCAGCUGUGAAGAAGGAUGGCAAGUACAUCUUUCAGCUUGUAGAUGAUUGCAUUGAAGAGAUUGGGGAGAAACAUGUAGUUCAAGUGGUGACUGAUAAUGCAAGUGUGAAUCAGGCAGCAUCAACUUUGUUGAAUGCAAAGCGGCCCAACAUAUUCUGGAAUGGUUGUGCUGCCCAUUGUAUUGAUUUGAUGCUAGAGGACAUCGGUAAGCUGCCAUCAGUUGACUCCACUAUUACAAAAGAUAGAGCUGUGACGGUUUUCCUUUAUGCACACAUAAGGGUUUUGAGCCUAAUGAGGGAGUUCCUUGGGAAAGAUCUGGUUAGGUCAGGUAUUACUAGGUUUGCUACAUCAUACUUCAACUUGAAGAGCAUGCUGGAUAACAAGAAGCAACUCCAGAAGCUAUUUAGAUCAGAUCAACUUGAUGAAAUGGGCUAUCUAAAAAAGGCUAAAGGAAGUGAAACCAACAAAACUGUGCGCUCUGAAUCUUUUUGGAGAGGAGUAGAUAUUGCCGUAAAGUUCUUUGAACCAUUGGCUAACUUGCUAAGGAGAAUGGACAGCGAUGUACCAGCUAUGGGAUUCAUAUACGGCGCCUUUUUGGAUGCAAAGAAAGAGAUCUCAGCCAAGUGUGAAAAUGAACAACAAGAAUCUUGUUUUCAAGAAGUGUUGGAUAUAGUGGAUAAAAGAUGGGACAACAAAUUGAAGAGGCCACUACAUAGGGCUGGAUACUUCUUAAAUCCAGACUACUUUUAUGAAAACAAGCUACAAAUUUUGUUGGAUCCAACAUUUAAAGAUGGGAUUGUAAGUUGCAUGGGAAAAAUGGUGGAAGAUGUUCUCCUUCAAGACAAAAUCACGGAUGAGCUUAAGGCAUAUCAAGGUGAAGAGGGGUCAUUUGGAAGAGACAUUGCUAAAAGGCAGCGGAAAAACAAAAACUUUGAUCCAGCU